UUCUAAUUAGCAGAUUGAUCAAACACUACAGGAAAAAGGUAAAUCUCACCCUCUCAUGUCAAAGGGUAAACCCCGCUCUCUCUGUCUCUCUCUCGACCUCCCCAGCACAGCCGCGAUGAUGCCGUACAACGUCCCACCGCUAUCACCGAUUACCUCAAGAGGUUACUUCAGCACAAGGAGCUCAAAUCCGGAGUCCGAGGAAGUCAGAUUCGCACUCCAAAUCCUCCUGUUCGACUCUGCAUCUGCAACCGGAGAGCGUCUCUCUCACCAUUUGCGAACCAGCUCACAAGCAAUUCGAAAGUCCAAAGGUCUGAGUGGUGGUGCUGGUGGAAUAUGAUUUAUCGCGUUUUGAAAUUAAAUGUCAACCUACUUGGACUUGUUUAACAUUAAGAGGUCAUCUCCGGGUUAGUUUGUUUUGAGGGAUAUUGGACAUGAGUAUGCUGGUGGGGACAUGCUUGAGCCAAGGGAAGCUGAUAUACCUGCCCUGUUCUUGGUUUUCGUUGUGCUUCCUUUGCCUGCUUAUGUUUUACUUGGAAAAUGGAGUGAGGCAUCUAAGAAGAGUGAGAGGGUACGUUUGCUUGCUCAACUCGCAUCAGAAGAAGCUGUUAGAGCAGAAGAAAUGGUUGUUCCUGACAUUAUUCCUCCGGUUUCGUCUUCAAAGAAUAAUGUUCAUGCAUGUGCUAGAUGCUCUCGGCCAACCAUAACCCGCUUGCAAAUCUGUCAGAUACUGUUCUAGGAAGUGUCAAAUAAUUCAUUGGAGGGAAGUUCACAGGCAAACAUGCUUGCAGUUGGAACCUAGUAGUGCAACCUCAUCUCCUAUGGCUGUCUCAUAUGGAGCUUGACAAGGAACUUUAUAGUAAUAAGAUAAAUGGUAAUAUUUCAGACGAGCUUGGCAAUUUGAAAAACCUGGUGAGCUUGGAGUUUCAAUUACUUUUAAAAGUUGUUUUUCACUUGCUUUCUUUAAGAAAAUAUUCCUCUCAUUAUAGUAUUACAUUUGUAGUAGAAGCUUGAAGAGGAGUUUCACUAGGCCUGGCAACGGGCGGGUAUAGUGCGGGUACGGGCCGGGUUUUUAACGGGACGGGUUUUUAACGGGCCGACCCGGUAAAAACCCGUUAAGUUAACGGGUUUCGCGGGCUAAACCCGACGGGUUUGCGGGUUUUCCGUUGGAACCCGUUAACAAUUUUUUUUUUUAAAUUAAAUUUUUAAAAAAAAAAAAAAUCCGUGUUGAAAGACACAACAGUAGAUAGAUAAAGCAUAAAGAGUGAAAGACAGAGAAGAGGCCAAGGUGUGCGACCUACAGAGCAGGCAACAUGGGUAUAUGAUAUUGAAAGACAAUGAGCUCAUCUGUAAGACACUGACCACAUCAGCAUAUAUAUGGACACAUUUGGAAGAACGAUUAUUGGAUGGAAUUGUCGGAAUGAUCCAGUGUUGGAACACGAAGAAUAGGCUCGUGGAAAAUAGUUGUACAUGCACAGGAGACCAUUUGACUUAACCAAGUGAAGUCUUCUAUUCUAUGCCUGUAAUGCCGUCAACAAUUUUAGUUUCCUUUGUGUUUGUCAAAUGGUCAAUCAAUCAACUUCCAUUUGCUGGUAA